AACGAACGCUGGCGGCAGGCCUAACACAUGCAAGUCGAGCGGACCCUUCGGGGUUAGCGGCGGACGGGUGAGUAACGCGUGGGAAGAGGCCCUUCUGUACGGAAUAGUUCUGGGAAACGGGUGGUAAUACCGAAUACGCCCUUUGGGGGAAAGAUUUAUCGCGGAAGGAUGGGCCCGCGUGGGAUAAGGUGGUUGGUUGGGUAAUGGCUGCCCAAGCGGACGAUCCCUAGCUGGUUUGGGAGGCUGAUUAGCCACACUGGGACUGAGACACGGCCCAGACUCCUCCGGGAGGCAGCAGUGGGGAAUCUUGCACAAUGGGGGCAACCCUGAUGUAGCCAUGCCGCGUGAGUGAUGAAGGUCUUAGGGUUGUAAAGUUCUUUCAGCUGGGAAGAUAAUGACGGUACCCGCAGAAGAAGCCCCGGCUAACUCCGUG
rnacentral:rRNA from 1 species